rnacentral:rRNA from 1 species
CCGCCAGACUCCUACGGGAGGCAGCAGUGAGGAAUAUUGGUCAAUGGGCGAGAGCCUGAACCAGCCAAGUCGCGUGAAGGAUGACGGCCCUACGGGUUGUAAACUUCUUUUGUCAGGGAGCAAUUGGGUCCACGCGUGGGCUUAGCGAGAGUACCUGAAGAAAAAGCAUCGGCUAACUCCGUGCCAGCAGCCGCGGUAAUACGUAGGGGGCAAGCGUUAUCCGGAUUUACUGGGUGUAAAGGGAGCGUAGACGGCGUGCCAAGUCUGGUGUGAAAGGCCGGGGCUCAACCCCGGGACUGCAUUGGAAACUGGCAUGCUGGAGUGCCGGAGGGGCAAGCGGAAUUCCUAGUGUAGCGGUGAAAUGCGUAGAUAUUAGGAGGAACACCGGUGGCGAAGGCGGCUUGCUGGACGGUAACUGACGUUGAGGCUCGAAAGCGUGGGGAGCAAACAGGAUUAGAUACCCCUGUAA